UCCAAUAUUUCAUGUUUUUAAAAAUGUUUUUCAGAAACAUUUGAGUAUGAUCGUGUACCUCUGCAUUUGCACUGUAUAGUGUAAUCCCUUUGAUUCAGACUGUCACAGGAGCUGCUGAAUCUCCCCCUCCCCAGAAAAGGGGGGUGAUGAGGGGUUGUUUCAGAGGGUAGCAUAGACUAUGGGUGUGGGAACUGUUUCAGAUUUCGAUUAAACUUGCUUCCAUUCUGCAUUACAGGCCUCUGCUUUUCUGACCUAUACCAUAAAGCAUAUGAAUGGAAAUUAGUGGAAAGCUUUUCCAGAAUGGUUUUUGUAAUUUAGCUAAUGGAAAAAAUGCUUCACGUAUUGGCAGGAUUGUGGUGUUUAGAAUGCUUGCGCUGCCUCUGCUGGCUUUUUAAAGUUACACUAAUCUGGAAAAGAGAGCACUGGCUGGGAAUGAAGAGAUCUUCACUCCAGUAUUCCCAUUGUCCUGCUGCAUGAGAGGGCAGUAACUGAGAUUUGUGUGGAAGAUUGAUGGAAUUAGCAUGAAGAGAAGCUCUUAGAGGUAGUGACUGCUGCUUCUGUGUAUUGACUAAGAGUAACUACCCCUCCUAAUGGUUGAUGGCAUCCACAGGUCAAUUAGGAAGUAAAUGAAUUGGGACUGGAGAACUGGCUUUGCCUUCUCAAGGCUAUAACCCUCAACAAGACUGUCACUUUAUUUUUUUUUUAACCACCUAUUAAUUGUGAUGUUGUUUGUGAACAUGCUCAGAGAAGUCCCUGCCACAGCACUUGGACAAAACUAAACCCUCUUGCAACACUGGCUGAAAUUUGUUUUUUGUGUUAUUCCAGGGAUGUCUUGCUAAAAUCAGCUGAGUUCUUUCUAAAUAACUUGUAUAUGGGAAAAAUCAGAAUUGUUAGUCACCAGUACUGUGUGUGUGCAUAAUAUAUACAAUAUUGUGUAUGUACAGAUAAUAUAUACAGUAUAAUAUGACUAACAAUUCAUAUACAGGCACAUACUGGAGUUACAGUUCUCUCAUUUUCUUUUCUUCCUUAGGUAAGUUCCUCUUUGUUAGGGGAAGGGGGGCAUGAAAUACGGGGAAAAAUUUAGUAAUAUCAUUAUUUACAAGCAUGUCCCUGACAGAGUGACUGAAAUUAUUUGCCAGUUCAGGCAAAUUUGAGGGUUUUUCAUGGGAUUUCUCAUUUCCCUGUAGCAUAUAAAGGCUGUGUGCACUUAUGAGGGCAGUGCUUGCUGCCUUAAGUACUGUAGAUGGCUAGUUAAAAGCCAGCUACUUUACAUCAGGGCUAAGCAAACAGCAAAAGUUUUACUUGCAUAUUGCUUGUAGAGUGGAAUAGCUCAGCAAUCUUUCCCUGGUGUUGUAUUGGUGUAACUGACACGUAUCAUGUGAUUAAGUGGGUAGUUUUGAUCAGA